rnacentral:rRNA from 1 species
UACCUGCAAGUCGAGCGGACAGAAGGGAGCUGCUCCUGGAUGUAGCGGCGGACGGGUGAGUAACACGUGGGUAACUGCUGUAAGACUGGGAUAACUCCGGGAAACCGGAGCUAAUACCGGAUAGUUUCCUGAACCGCAUGGUUCAAGGAUGAAAGACGGUUUCGGCUGUCACUUACAGAUGGACCGCGGCGCAUAGCUAGUUGGUGGGGUAAUGGCUCACCAAGGCGACGAUGCGUAGCCGACCUGAGAGGGUGAUCGGCCACACUGGGACUGAGACACGGCCCAGACUCCUACGGGAGGCAGCAGUAGGGAAUCUUCCGCAAUGGACGAAAGUCUGACGGAGCAACGCCGCGUGAGUGAUGAAGGUUUUCGGAUCGUAAAGCUCUGUUGUUAGGGAAGAACAAGUGCGAGAGUAACUGCUCGCACCUUGACGGUACCUAACCAGAAAGCCACGGCUAACUACGUGCCAGCAGCCGCGGUAAUACGUAGGUGGCAAGCGUUGUCCGGAAUUAUUGGGCGUAAAGGGCUCGCAGGCGGUUUCUUAAGUCUGAUGUGAAAGCCCCCGGCUCAACCGGGGAGGGUCAUUGGAAACUGGGAAACUUGAGUGCAGAAGAGGAGAGUGGAAUUCCACGUGUAGCGGUGAAAUGCGUAGAGAUGUGGAGGAACACCAGUGGCGAAGGCGACUCUCUGGUCUGUAACUGACGCUGAGGAGCGAAAGCGUGGGGAGCGAACAGGAUUAGAUACCCUGGUAGUCCACGCCGUAAACGAUGAGUGCUAAGUGUUAGGGGGUUUCCGCCCCUUAGUGCUGCAGCUAACGCAUUAAGCACUCCGCCUGGGGAGUACGGUCGCAAGACUGAAACUCAAAGGAAUUGACGGGGGCCCGCACAAGCGGUGGAGCAUGUGGUUUAAUUCGAAGCAACGCGAAGAACCUUACCAGGUCUUGACAUCCUCUGACAACCCUAGAGAUAGGGCUUUCCCUUCGGGGACAGAGUGACAGGUGG